UGUGUGGUAGCAAAGUGGUCAAAUGCGUGUGAUUAUUUAAAUUCAUAUUGAUAAAUAUGAUACGGCAUUUAUUUUGGUUCACAUUCCCUCGGGUGCGUAGGUUCGAAUCCUUCCCACACAA
rnacentral:tRNA from 1 species